GUGGGGAAUAUUGCGCAAUGGGCGAAAGCCUGACGCAGCGACGCCGCGUGGGUGAUGAAGGCCUUCGGGUCGUAAAGCCCUGUCAGGAGGGAAGAACUCUCGCCGGUUUAAUACACCGGUGACUUGACGGUACCUCCAAAGGAAGCACCGGCUAACUCCGUGCCAGCAGCCGCGGUAAUACGGAGGGUGCGAGCGUUGUUCGGAAUCACUGGGCGUAAAGCGCGUGCAGGCGGCCUCUUAAGUCUGGUGUGAAAGCCCGGGGCUCACCCCCGGAAGGGCACUGGAUACUGGGAGGCUAGAGUACCGGAGAGGAGGGUGGAAUUCCUGGUGUAGCGGUGAAAUGCGUAGAUAUCAGGAGGAACACCGGUGGCGAAGGCGGCCCUCUGGACGGAUACUGACGCUGAGACGCGAAAGCGUGGGGAGCAAACAGGAUUAGAAACCCUAGUAGUCC
rnacentral:rRNA from 1 species